UCAUUAUCCAAUUUCUCUACCACCAAAGCUCGAUUUAACACUUCAGCAUAUGUUGGUAAAAUCAGUACUGCAACAGACUUUCUAAUUGAUGAUCGAAGUCCCCUCUCAAAAUGACGAGCUCUUUGACUUUCAUUAAAAGCAAUAUGUGGAGAGAACUGAGCCAACUCAGUGAAAUGAUGAUCAUAUUCCAUUACAGUUCUAUUUUCUUGGUGGAUGCUAAGGAACUCUUGUUGUUUCUCAAAGCGAACUGAAUCAGGAAAGAACUGCUCAUAAAAUGCAUCUUUAAACUGCUCCCAAGUUACCACAUUACCUCCUGCCUCUAACAUCCUUCUUUUUAAGGUCCACCAAGUGUAUGCCUUCCCUUCCAAAAUGAAAGAAGCGAAAGGCACUUUCUGAUUUUUCCUACAUUCGAUAGCUUCGAAUGUCUUUUCCACUUGACGAAUCCAACGUUCAGCAAAGAUUGGAUCUG
rnacentral:lncRNA from 1 species